GUAACAUUGUCUACCCUACAUUUAACAGGAAGAAGAUGGCUAUUUUUCAGAUUAGACGCUUCCUUCUGUCCUCACCUCCAUGAAACAUCAAAUCAGAGUAUAGGAAAAAUGCAACAGUAUAUAUCAAGAGAAGCCUGAGACUGGAUUCUGGUUGGAAGAAGAAAAUGCUUCUAAUUAGCAGGACCUUGGCUACCCUGAGAGCCACGAACGCCAGCAGGUCCGACUGAGCCAGGAUGUCCAGUGCGACCAUCUUUGCCAAUAGGGCCAGUAGGACCAGCAGGGCCCUACGGAGGAAGGAUACCGGGUCUCAGUCAGUGAAAAUCCCACAAGGAAACAGAAACCUGGGACUCACUGCCUGCCACAAACUCUAUUUCAGAGAUAAAUGUUUCUUAGAUUGACCUACCCUAGGACCAGCAGGACCCACAGAGCCAGGAGCACCUUGAUCGCCAUGCUGGCCCUUUAAAGAGAAAAGAGGAAAAUCAUACUUUCAGAACACGUGUCGACAAAUAGGUCUUUUUAAAUUGAAUGGAAAACUUUAGUUUCAAUGGGCCCUAGAUUGAGAAAAUUGAAAAUGUAAAAUGGGGCUCUUUUCUCCCAUUAAGUCUAUUAUAUUCAAUUAUAUUUUUUUCUACAAGCUAUUUCAGCAGUGCAAUAUUAGUCAUUCCUCUAAUUAUAUUUAUUUUAAGUGAGGUUGAAGGACAUUGUUGCCUAGAGAUUUUAAUAUAUGUAUAUUUCAAUCUCCCUUAACCCUCACCUUUUUGUGUUGGGAUAUAAUGGCAUUAUCUCUGCGAGAUGGCGUCAGUCAGAGAAUGGGAAAUGAAUAUGAUGUAGGACAUUUUAGAACAAUAGCAUUGAAAAUUUGAGGAAGAUCUUUUAAGAUCUGUAUAUAUGUGUGACAUCCACAUUUUACUUACAGCAAGACCAGGAAGACCUUGCAGUCCAUUGUGUCCCUUCAAGCCAGGAAGACCUCUGGGCCCCUUGUCACCAGGCUCUCCCUUAUCACCUCGGGUACCUUGUGGGCCCUGUAAAGAAAAAUAAGGGCAGAUAGGACAUUUAGCUUCUUUAGAAAAUGAUCAGUUCCCACAAAUAUUGCUUAAUCUGUUUACAAGGCAACUCAGGACAUGCAAAGGUUUAAAAGGCAUGUGGGUGUUACUCCUAUUUAUUCUCUUAAUCUGCUUUAGUUGAGCUUUCUUAAAGUGGCUAGAUUUUUGUAAUUAUUUAAAACAAAUAAACAAGCAGAAGGGAUUUGAAAUAGAAGAGACUGAGAAGUUAGUUGUAGUAAUUCUCAACAUGGACUAAAUUUUUAAAAAAAAUAUGAAGUCUAGCCUGUAUAUUAUUUAUUUUCUUCACGGACAGUCUGUUUAUUUGUAAAGAAAUCAUCACCAUGUACGUACAGUAGGACCCCUUGGACCAACAGCACCAACGGGACCAACAACACCGGCAGGACCCUGAGAGUUGGAAAAGAAAACCAUAACUCAUUGGCCAAGCCCAAGACUGUCCUCCCCAAGCCCCCACAGUUCCCAAGGAGGGGCAGGUCAGAAGGGAAGGCUACAAAGAUGAUGGCACAAAGGGACUGGUAUUCACAAACUUACAGGUUCACCACGGUUUCCAUGUUUGCCAGUGGGACCCACGGGGCCGUGAGGACCGGGUGCACCCACAGCGCCAACUGGACCAAUGUUGCCAGGGUAACCGCGUUCUCCCUACCAAAGGCAAAGUGAAGUUUAGCAUCAAACUGGCCCGUGGUUUAGUCACGUUUCAAUUGGAGAAAGACAAAGAGGUGUACUGACCUUGUGUCCAGGCUGACCAUCGCGGCCUGGGGGACCAUCGUUCCCAGGGUUGCCCUGCGAAGACACCACACCAGUGAAUGCACUUAGUGAGGCUCUUUAACCCACCAUCCCCUGUGGUCUAGCUCAUCUGUCUUAAUCACUCCCAGAGCUCACUAGUGAUACCAUUUUCAGAUUGUUAAAAGACAGGAGCAAGAACUUGCCAACCUAGUUGUUCUAGAGGUGUUUUGGCUAUUUUGGCCCACUCAGAAGCAUGCCAUUUAAAUACCCAUCCAUCCCCCAGUCCAAGUUAUUUUUUAUAUUUUCAAUACCAGGAGUGGUCAGUACAUGUUGAUUUAAUGGAGAAACACCAUCUUGUUCCAAAACUUGGAACAAGAGGAACUCAGCUCAGGAUAUGAUGUUGCACAUAAUGAAAUACAGCUAGGUGUUCCAGCCAUAUUUGUGUAGCUAGUAUAUAGUCUAAGAUGACAAAACAAGUGUCCUACUCACAUCCCGACCAGCUUCGCCAGGAGCACCAUUGACUCCAGGUGCACCCACAGCACCAGGGGGACCCCGAGCCCCAGGCGGACCAGAGAUGCCGAGAGGUCCGGGUUCACCCUAGAGACAGAGAACAAAAAACAACAUCCCUCUUGGUGGAUCGAGUGCAAAUCUCACCCUUCCAAAACAACCCUGGCUAGGAGACUCCAGUUUGCAGGGAGAAGCUACCGUGGAAGUGAAUGGGUCACACAAAAUGGUAUCCUUGCCCUCAUCCUACACACUCAGAUGGUCAGCUUUAUCUAAUUUUGGAAGGUUACUCUGUUCAGGUGAGCCUAGUUACAACCAACAUCCCAAAUGAAAUGAAUUCAUAAAGUUGAGAGAGCUUAUGGAGAUGAGCUGAGCCCUGGCUGCUGUCAUGUAUAAGGUUUAAUGGAAUGAUUCAGAACUUUCAGAGCUUCAUUCUUCCAACAGGAUAAAUGAUGCCAGCAUUUCACACUGCAGAGGAGUAAAUGCAAUUAGAGCUUAUAUAGUUCUUAAGCAUGUAAAAAGAACAAAAAUCAUUCUGCAUAAUAUUAAGCUGUAUCUUUAUAGCGUGUGUCUAAGUAAGGUGGUAUUAAAGCUUCUUAGAUAAGUGACAUGUGAUCUGUAUAAAGAAAAUGCCAUGAAUAAAAAUUCUUAAGUGGAGUUAUUCAGUGAUCAAUCUGUCACAUCUGAAGUGGCAGCUUUUAAAAUCUUUUAUUAUGUUAAUGAGAAUAAGAAUGGUGUCAAACACUUACCACAGAUCCAGAAACACCUGGUAGACCACGUUCACCUCUAGAGCCUGGGAGACCCAGAAUACCAGGAGCACCAAGAAGACCUUGAGGACCAGCGGUGCCAGGAGGGCCCUGAACAAGAGGAAAAAUACUAUUACUAAUAAGCCCAUAGGUGACCAAAUACAGGUUGGCUUAAGGAUUGUGAGAAUGAGCUAUCCUCAGGUUAGAAAAAAGCUAGUGACCUUCCAUUAGUAGGGUGUAUCCUUGGAUAUCUUUUCUCUAGUGAAGACAGUAAGUUUCAUGUGGGCAAGUACAUCUCUUUGAACCUGGUUCCUCCCUGACACCAACGGAACAACAUUAAAGAAUAUGUGUUUGAGAUUAAUGAAGACAUCUGGGGUAAUGAAAUAGAGUUUUUAUGGAAUCUAUGCCAAGAUGUGAAUUUUUACCUUGGCCUCUCACUGAACCAGGUCUAAUAAGGGCACAUUUCAGAGUAACAAGAAUACUAAACAACGCAUGUUUAAAGAAUAGGUAGCUUGCUGAGAUUUGAUUAAUUUACAAUAGGAUGACCAUGGCAAUGGGAUUCUGUUCUAAUCCCAGUACCUGUAAGGUGCCAUUUUGAUACAAGAGUGUAUUGUCAUCCUCAUCUCAUGCCUUCUGAGCAACUGCUGAAGCUAUGACACCUCAGUAGCUGUUGGACAGACUUCCUGGCUCAGCUCAGCUCUACUUGAAAGCCUGCAACUCUCAUCAACAAAUGUAUGCCACUCGAAGAUCUGUGUAAGGCUUUAUUUUAAUUCAACACAAGGUAUUAAGAAAGAGGAGCUUGAAAUCACUUACAGCAGUACCAGGCUCUCCAGAGGGACCCUUCUCACCAGCAAAGCCAGGGGGACCAGAUGCACCUGUUUCUCCCGUUCGGCCAACUGGACCUUGGUCACCCCGAGGCCCACGAAGUCCUUCUUUACCAGCAGCACCAGGGGGACCAGGAGGGCCAGUGAUACCCUGUGAGCAAAUGGCAAGGUCUUUUAUUCCCAGUUAGUCAUCACAGACCUGGGAGAUCCAGGUAUUAAGAUGUGAGGCAAUAGAAAUGAUACCCUGGCCAUUUGGGGGACAUGUGGAGGGUUUGUAAUAGCCUCUUAUGGAGAGAAGUAGCUCCCAUCCUCUUUCACCUGAGGUUAUGACAAAGUGAAUAACUGAGGCAGAGGCUAUGGCAAAUGUCUGUGAGGAAAAGCAAGGCCGUGCUACCAGGAACCUGGCAUAUUGGAAUCAGAACGAGGUAGAGUCAGAAGAGUUAGCUGUCAAUGAAUGGGACUUUGGGUUUUGGAGGACUCUGCUCAUCUCUUUUUGAAGAAAGCCAAUACUGGCAUUUUGUUCAUAAUUGAGGAAUCACAUAUGCUCUCAACUAGGUUUAAUUAAAUGCCUACAGGGAAUGAAGAUUUUUCUGUUAUGAACCUGUAAAAGGAUUCCAAGAAAUCAACAUCUUUGCGAUUUUUUUUCCCUGAAACCUUAACCGGAAGACUUAAUCCUUGGUAAUUAAUUAAAUUCUCUUGAGUCCUGACAGGAGAGUCUGAAUCAGAAUUAAAUUAGAGGCCAAGCCACCUUUAAAUUCAGGAACAAUUAUACUUUAACAACGGAGGCAGAAUGUUGGCCAUAAAGGGUAAUUAGAUAUAGAAAUAUCUGAUAUGUGACUCAAACUGUUCUGUUUUUUUUUUAAUUUUUAACAAAGAGACCAUGCCCCUAAAAAAGGGACUUGUGUUUACAUGAAUAAAAGCCUCUUAAGCUGA